rnacentral:rRNA from 1 species
CUGCUCAGUAACACGUGGAUAACCUACCCUUGAGACGGGGAUAAACCCGGGAAACUGGGUAUAAUACCCGAUAGAUCUCGACUGCUGGAAUGCAUCGAGCUUGAAAGCUCCGGCGCUCAAGGAUGGGUCUGCGGCCUAUCAGGUAGUAGUGGGUGUAGCGUACCUACUAGCCUACGACGGGUACGGGUUGUGAGAGCAAGAGCCCGGAGAUGGAUUCUGAGACACGAAUCCAGGCCCUACGGGGUUCAGCAGGCGCGAAAACUUUACAAUGCUGGAAACAGCGAUAAGGGGACCUCGAGUGCCAGGUUACAAAUCUGGCUGUCGUGAUGCCUAAAAAGCAUUGCAUAGCAAGGGCCGGGCAAGACCGGUGCCAGCCGCCGCGGUAACACCGGCGGCUCGAGUGGUAACCGUUAUUAUUGGGUCUAAAGGGUCUGUAGCCGGCCGGAUAAGUCUCUUGGGAAAUCUGGCAGCUUAACUGUCAGGCUUUCAGGAGAUACUGUCUGGCUCGAGGCCGGGAGAGGUGAGAGGUACUUCAGGGGUAGGGGUGAAAUCUUGUAAUCCUUGAAGGACC